CCUACGGGUGGCAGCAGUGGGGAAUAUUGCACAAUGGGGGAAACCCUGAUGCAGCGACGCCGCGUGAGUGAAGAAGUAUUUCUGUAUGUAAAGCUCUAGCAGCAGGGAAGAAAUAUCGACCUUUGGGUCGCCAGACGGUACCUGACUAAGAAGCCCCGGCUAACUACGUGCCAGCAGCCGCGGUAAUACGUAGGGGGCAACCGUUAUCCGGAUUUACUGGGUGGAAAGGGAGCGUAGACGGCAGCACAAGUCUGAAGUGAAAUGCCGGGGCUUAACCCCGGAACUGCUUUGGAAACUGUGCAGCUAGAGUGCAGGAGAGGCAAGUGGAAUUCCUAGUGUAGCGGUGAAAUGCGUAGAUAUUAGGAGGAACACCAGUGGCGAAGGCGGCUUACUGGACUGUAACUGACGUUGAGGCUCGAAAGUGUGGGGAGCAAACAGGAUUAGAUACCCCAGUAGUC
rnacentral:rRNA from 1 species